UACGUAGGGUGCGAGCGUUGUCCGGAAUUAUUGGGCGUAAAGGGCUCGUAGGCGGUUUGUCGCGUUCGGGAGUGAAAACCUUGGGCGUUAACUCAGGGCUUGCUUUCGAUACGGGCAGACUAGAGGUAUGCAGGGGAGAACGGAAUUCCUGGUGUAGCGGUGAAAUGCGCAGAUAUCAGGAGGAACACCGAGUGGCGAAGGCAGGUCUCUGGGCAUUAACUGACGCUGAGGAGCGAAAGCAUGGGGAGCGAACAGG
rnacentral:rRNA from 1 species